AUUGAACGCUGGCGGCAUGCUUUACACAUGCAAGUCGAACGGCAGCGGGGAGGAGCUUGCUUCUCUGCCGGCGAGUGGCGAACGGGUGAGUAAUACAUCGGAACGUGUCGAGAAGAGGGGGAUAACCACCCGAAAGGGUGGCUAAUACCGCAUAAAUUCUGAGGAAGAAAGCUGGGGACCUAGGAAUAGGCCUAGCGCUUUUUGAGCGGCCGAUGUCGGAUUAGCUAGUUGGUGAGGUAAAGGCUCACCAAGGCGAAGAUCUGUAGCGGGUCUGAGAGGAUGAUCCGCCACACUGGGACUGAGACACGGCCCAGACUCCUACGGGAGGCAGCAGUGGGGAAUUUUGGACAAUGGGGGCAACCCUGAUCCAACCAUGCCGCGUGUAUGAAGAAGGCCUUAGGGUUGUAAAGUACUUUUGUUAGGGAAGAAAAGUAAGCUGUGAAUAAUGGCUGAUACUGACGGUACCUAAAGAAUAAGCACCGGCUAACUACGUG
rnacentral:rRNA from 1 species